rnacentral:rRNA from 1 species
UACGUAGGGGGCAAGCGUUAUCCGGAUUUACUGGGUGUAAAGGGAGCGUAGACGGCGAUGCAAGUCUGAAGUGAAAGGCGGGGGCCCAACCCCCGGACUGCUUUGGAAACUGUAUGGCUGGAGUGCAGGAGAGGUAAGUGGAAUUCCUAGUGUAGCGGUGAAAUGCGUAGAUAUUAGGAGGAACACCAGUGGCGAAGGCGGCUUACUGGACUGUAACUGACGUUGAGGCUCGAGAGCGUGGGGAGCAAACAGG